rnacentral:misc_RNA from 1 species
CUGUUUCACUGGUAGGCUCGGGCUAAUAGAUGCUCCCUGAUCGCUGCGCCAUCUUUAGUUAAAAUGUCAAGAGACAGAAGAAUGUUUGCAGAUCUUGCAAGAAACUCGACGCGGCACAGGCGGCCUUCGCCUAAUGUCGUCAGUUUGCCAGAGAGGGCUCACGAUUAACGAAGGAUUUGUGAAUGUGGCAAGCUGAUGGUGGCAAGAUUCUGCAGCAAUACUCAAGCCACCAACAAAUCCCAUCAGCUGCUGCAUCAUGUCUGAUGCUGACAUCAUGGCAGAGGCUUAUGCCAGUCCAGCUGAGAAUACCACUGGACAGCAUCCCAGCGUUUCUCCAGCAUCUAAACCACCUACACCUGUGGGCGCUCGUCGUUUAUCUGGCAUUGUGGACUUGUCUUCAAGUGGCUCUGAAUCCCAGAGUGCAGAAAAUGGGAUCCAUGGCCCAUCAUACCCAAAUUUAGUGGGGCUUAGUGGGGCCAACAUGGGAAAUGGUGGUGGGCCAUCUGCCAGUAAAUUAGCAUGCCGUUACUGUGGUAAGACAUUUUCACAGGCUGGAUAUAUCAAGGCACAUGAGCGUUUGCAUACAGGAGAAAAGCCAUUUUCAUGCUCUGUGUGUGGCAAAAGGUUCAGCGAUCCAUCAAACUGGAAGAAGCAUGAGCGUGUACAUGCCAACCAGUCACGGAAAGCCCCAGGCCCCCCUUCAUCUUCGGAUGUAGCUCACAAGGUAAAAAACUUGUUUCUGAAGUCAGUCAAUUCCAUAGUUUCAUCCUCCCUUCAACAGCGUCUGGCAGCACGCAGCAGUGGUGCAGAAGGUGGUUGGGUUGGGGGAAGCAACGGUCCUAUAGUGUGCAAAGUGUGUGGAAAAAUCUUUUCUAGCCAAAGCAGCUUGUCCACUCAUAGGCGUAUUCACACAGGAGAACGCCCUUACAGAUGCAGAGUGUGUGGCAAGAGUUUCACACAAGUUGGCACACUUCGCACACAUGAGCGUGUGCAUACAGGUGAGAAACCUUAUGUGUGCCGAGUCUGUGGCAGAACCUUCGCUCAGUCAGGUUCAUACCGCAUGCAUGAACGACGUCAUGCCACGGAUGCCACACAACGCUGCCAUGUAUGUUAUACUACUUUUCCAACAUGGAGGGAGCUUCAGCUGCACAUGGCAUCUCAUCCACAGGCACAGAAUGGCAAAAAAAACUGGGUGUGGCCUGUUGGAAGUCUUCUUUCUUCUUCCCUUAACUGGUACUGGUCAGACUGGGAGAAAACCAGCCCAUCUGUGGGGCUGACUUGCGAGUAUCACUCACUGGGGAACAAGGUUUCCAGAACAUUAAUGGACUCAAUGGAUGAAGGUCCAUCUAUGCUUCCACCACAUAUGGAAAAUGGAGAUGGUCCUCCUCGACCCCCUUUGCUAGCUGAUCAUAUGAUGUUGGAUAGUGAUAGUCCUUUUCCUGGCCCAGCUCACCGCCACCAUCACCACACACCAGUCUUCCACCAUGCCAGUCAGCUGCCUCCGUUCUCAUCCAUUGUGCCAUUUCGCACCCCACCAUUCCCUACUCCUCUCAACAUUUUUACAUCACAAGCCCUGUCACUAUCUCAACCUGGAGAUUUUAUCACUUCCAGUCCUCUCUUUCAGCCUGCUCCAGCACUUGCACUGCCAGCACCCCUCAAAGUUCUGGAAAUGCCAUCUUCACCUGGUCCUGGAGAUUCUGAUGUUGUAUCCACAACUUCCCAGCUUAGGAAAUAUGGCUCAGACUCGCAUAUGUCAACUACAGUUUCUACACCAGAGGUGCAGCCUGAGAUAAUAGCAGCACAAAUGGAUGCUGAAACAGGGGAUGCUCUUCCUCCAAGUCAACCUCAGUCAAGUGAAUCGAGUGAUGCAGGCUCCCAGUCACCUGAAGAAGGGGGCGAUGUAAAUGGGGAUGAUUUUUCCCUUCCAAAACGCUGCAUUGAACGCCAAAACCUGAAUACCCGCAUGAUGGGGUCAUCAUCACGUAAACAACGCCAUCCAAUGCGUCGAUACAGCAGUGCUAGUAGUGAGCAUGAGGUGCCACAGUCCACAUCUUCUGCAGCCUCUUCUUCACUUCCUAUCAGUUCAACUACUCGUGAUCCUCGUGAAAUGGAAGACCAGGGUCUUGUAUCAUAUCUCAUCAACAAGGGCAGAGUAUACAAAUGCGAACAUUGUCGCAUAAUCUUUGAUGAUUGUACACUGUAUUUGCUGCACAAUGGUUUUCACUCCCAUGAUGCACAGCCCUUUCGUUGUGGCAUUUGUCGAGCAACUUGCAAUGAUCGCAUUGAUUUCAACUGCCACCUGACUAGUCACAUCAAGUGAGUUUUUCUCUUGGCAACUUCUGCAGUGAAAGUUGUAAAAGAACUGUCAGCUCUCUGCCAACCAGAAUGGGGCUGUGUCUGAAGGAACAUCAUGAGGCGUCAAGGAUCAGUAUUGACCAUGCUGGGUAGUACUGCUGCAACUGCUGCCACUUCCACCUGCACCUUAUUUACCUGCUCAUGAGACACCACUCCACAUCCUUAGGUAGAUUCCAGGUCAGCCAGAAGGCAGCAGUCCCAUUUUGUGGGCACAUGGCAGGCAUCGGGUCGGCAGCUCAAGCCACAGUGGAAAUAUUGUUACCACUGUAUGGUACAUACAGGACAUAACAUGAGUGGCAGUAGUGCAGAUGAAAUGCUGCUGUUGCAUCUAUCUGCCUGUACCAUCUCAUGCUGAAUUAAAUCACCAGGACCAAACAGAUCUGCUAGUGUAUUGCCUAGCAAACACAGCUUGGUAUUGGUUAUCAUGAAGGUCAUUUGUUGUUUCUUGCAGUGCUUUUUACUUAUUGUCUUCAAGACAAUGUUUUAAAAUGUGUGUAAUUUUAUAAAGAGAAAUUCAAAUAAAAAAUAUAGUGUUUGAUCACACCAUUGCAUGCAUUAACAUGCAUAUACAAAAUACCCAUGCAUGCAUUUAUUCACAGAUGCAUGCACAUAAGCAUAUUUUGAAACAUUACCUGCUAGUCUUGAUUUAAAUCGUUCAGAUUUUUGACUUUCAAAACUCUCAUUGGUAUCAUAUUCACUGUCUCGCUAUGUACAGGGCAGACUACAUUUAUCUGAUCAUAGAAAUGUUAGUGAGCAAUUUAAUUGCUUCACAAGUGUUUUGUGUUUAUCAUAAUUUUGCACCCUGACUCAAAACCUUUUCCUUCAUUCAUAAGCUCAAAGAGCUUAUGAAAAAAAAUGUUCCAUUUUGGGAUUUUGUUUUUUGCUGUUUGUUUUUUGUUUAUGUUUUUUUUGUUUGUUUUUUUUUUUUUUUUUUGGUUUUGUUUUUAAAAGACUCAGUGUUAUUCCCAAAGGGAGAUUUUGUAAAGGGUCCAUAUGCACAAUUGACCAAGUGUUGUCUGAUAAAGGAGACACCAUAAUUGCAAUUCUGUUUUCAGUGUUUUAAAGGCAUGUUGUCAGCAGUGCUGAUUUGCAGAAUGUUGCUGCUGGCAGCAAAGGGACAAGUGCGGUUGCCUUUGACAAUGUCAACAAUCUUUCUAAUUUGCACAUCUAUUAGAUUUACCCCCCAAAAGUGAGAAACCCAUAUACCACAAAUUUGUUUUACAUUUCAUUGCCCACUUAAUAAGGGAAUUUAGUAAUAAUAAAUAAAAUGCUUGUUAUGCUUUGUGUCACCAUUCUCUUGCUCUCAAUUUUUCUGAUACAGCCCUUUCUCCCUCAUUUGCAUUCUCACACAUAGUGCAUGCAUUCAUAUGCACAUAACCAACCAUAUAUAUAUUCACACCCAAUAUAGAAAGGAAAACGAGUGUGUGUGUGUGCUGUUUGUAAGAGAGAAUAUAUUAAUGACUGCACAUGCAAAUGAGGGGAAGAGCAAGGGUGGUCAGGAUGGUGGAAAGGGGUUGGGGUGUGUUUAAAUAGAGGAAAGGGAAAAACCUUCACAUAGAUUUUGGCAGUUGAAUGAAAAAUACUUAUUUGAUAAUGCAAAGUAGCUUUUAGAAACCUAUAAUUUUAAACUCAUUUUCUGAUGAAUUUAAUGGUGUGUUGAUACUUAAAUAUAUCCAGUCUUCUAAAACCAUUAAAGUGAGCCUGUAAAUCUAGUGUGCAUUAAUGUAUUUUAAUAUGCUUCUGUUAUAGUUUUUUUUAAAAGCAUUUCAUGAAAUCUUUAGAUGAGGUUGGUUAGAAGUGCAUUAAUUUUAAAACUGGUCUUUGCUCAUGUUGACAUAUUGGCUCAGCAUGUAAAUAGGAUGUGAUGCUGUCAGUUUUAAAUCAUUAUCACUGAUUUUAAUUGUGCACACUUGAAAAAAUGCCACUGGGCAUAAAUGAAAUUCAGAUACAAAUGCUUAGUUUUUCAAUUUAUUUUUUUCAUUGAAUAGAUCAUUAAUAGUCAUUGGAUUACUUUAGAAUACAUAGAAUGUCUUUUAUUUGUAUUAUAUUAUCAUUCAUAUUAUUAUUGUUAGAAAUUGCUGUUGUUCUGGGAUUGAUCAUACCAGUCUUCUUUUGAUGAAGGUGUUUAACAUUUUCCCCUUUAAGAAGACUGGUAAAACAAAUGUACUAGGGGCUAGGAAAUAUUAAACAAUUGACAUAUCCACUAGGAGGUUGUGAACAUAAUUUUCCAGGUUUCUUUUACAGUUUCUGUCUGUUUAAUUUUGUUUGCACAAAAACCAUUGAUGGCCUAGAGAAGUCUAGAAAAGGUUUAUGUUCUGUAGAAAGCAACAAAUUAGUGCAUUUGUAUGGAAGACAAUCACAGAUGGGAUCUGUACGGGGGAAAAAAACCUAAAGGUCUACCAGAGGGCAAUUUUAUUUUUGCAAAUGACUGGUGACUUCAGUGCAACAUACUUUAUCUCAAAUAUGAGUGAACAAAUCACUUCCAUUAUCUAGUUGCACAUGCAGAGUCAAAAAUCAAGAAUGUACAUGAAAAUGCAUUCAUUUUAAGGUUAUUGGCAAUAAAAGAGCUGGCAUACCCAUGGACAUUUGUGACACCAUAGUGUAACUUCCUCCUGUGCAUGGUUCUGGCUUAUACUGCUAUGAGUCUCUGUAUAGUUUUAGAUGUAUGUAUUUGAACACAAGGUGCUAUUGUACAGCAUGGAUGCGCUGCACUGGAGAGAACUUCAUGUCAUCACAUUUGUGUUCUGUUUAUAUGUUAAGGGUGGUGGGGGUGGGAAGAUAAAGCAUGUUUUGCACUAUAUGGGACAAAGAAAAAAAUUCUUCUGGGCUGGGUUACAGUCUGCAAUAUGCCUGCAUUUGCAAGUGUGCUGACUGCAUCGUCAGACGUAUCACUAAUGUGAAAAUAGAGCAACCCAUAAAACCUGAUGAGUAACCCUAUAUGUUUAUUAGAGAUGAAAGGCUGUUUAUUACCUAAUCAUUAGCAAAUUUUUUAAAUCUUUGUUUUUAUUUAGUUUUCUUCACCCCAUUUUUCUUUUUCUUCUCUCACUACAGUCAUUAGCUUUGUAGUCUGAGAAAUAGAGUGGGCUUCUGUUGCCUUAGUUUUACUGUGGCCUUUUCAAUUCAUCUGGCCUUUCCUGUUUUCCUAUAGCUGAUGCUAUAAAUGUGCACAGGGUGACUUCUGUCUCUAAAUACUAAUUUUUUUUUCAUAUAGUUUUAUUUAAUAGGCCAUAGAAUAUCUGAUUUUCUCAAAGUACUUUUUCUUCAGUUUAAUGGUUCACUGCAAUUAUCUCAGUUUAGACUUCCAUUUUGACAACUGUCUUUUAGAUGUGUGUGGAUUUGAUCAGUGGGUAUAUUAUAGUAGGAAAAAAGGUCAGAUGCAUGCUGGUAAUCAGUAGUGGAGAAAUGCCUAUCCUUAAAUCAGCAAAAGUGAAUGGAUGGCAUUGACUUUUCCACAUUGUUUCCAGUCUGUAGCUAUGAACCACUUUUCUCAAAGUUUAACAAUAAUUAUUGCUUCUUUACUGGCUUGUCUUUUUUUUUAACCCCUAGUUUCCAGUUUUGCAGCAACCUCACUAGCAACAAACUCAUUUGCACAUUAUUUCUACCCCCUUUCUUGCUCAUAUGUGGAAAUAUUUCAUGCAGUUCCCCACUGAAGAAAAAAUUAUAUCUAAAAUAUCAGUCAAAAGUAAAACAUUAAAUAAAUUUAUGUGAAACAGAUUUGAAGUGUGACAAGUUCAAGCAAAGGUAGGUUAUGAUGCACUAAACUAAAAACAAUAGUCCAUUCAAUAGCAACAACCAGUGUAGUCCGAAAUUAAAUAUUAUGUAAUAUAAAAGCAUAGAAUUCAAAUUGUUUACACUUGAAUUUUCUGCUUUUUUUAAAAUGUUGAAUGUGUGAAUCUGUAAUGUGGCUGCAUACUGUUUGGUAAAACAUGACCAGCCACCAUGAAGCUAUUGUCAAAAUUCAUGGACUGAAUUAAGGGAUUACAGUAGAUUGUACUGGAACUCAAUGGGCAUCUUAAGCUUGAAAAGUUUUUCCUUUUGUUGUUAUCUUUUAAGCUUAUCCUCAAAAGCUUGCAAACACAUAAAUACAUGCUAAUGGUAUAUGAAUUUGUGAGUGUGGGAUGUAUGCAUGAACAGUAGGCACAUGCAUGCAUACAUAAAUUGUUUUUCUCUCACUGCCAUGCCACCCCCAUCCCCAAUACCCCACCCCCAAAAAAUAUUCAUGUCAUGCAUUAUAUUUUUAAAAUUUAUAUAUUGAAAAGACAAAUCUGUGUUGUGCAGGUUAGAAAGUUCUGUUGCCAAAACAAAGAUGAUGGUAAAAAGCACAAAGUACUUGGAUUGUUUAUUUGAGUAAUGGUGAAGUUAGCAGAUAAUGCUUGCAAUUAUUUUUUGAGUGUUUGUUGUAUUCUCUUGUGCCUUGGCAAAAGAAAAAACAACAAAUCAGACGGAAGCUGAUAAAUAUGCUAUUUUAUGAAGUGUUGAUAUGAAAUUGUUGAUUUAUCCCUUGAUAAAUUUCUUUUUAUCAUCUUGUCAGGAUCACUUUUUAUUUUCUUGUGUACUUUCUUUUGACAAUACUCGAAACCUUUUUGCAAUGUUUCUCCAUGACAUUGUCUCCUUAAAUGAAUGCAAAAUUUUAAAAAAAGUAAUCUUAGAUGCUUUCUUCACAGAUAUCUUGGAAACACAUGUUGCAGCUUGAUUGGCUUAUAAAGUUAUUUUAAAAUGUUUCUCAAAUAUUAAAGACAGUAGUUUCAGGAGCACUAAAAUGAUGGUAAUCAUCAACUGUUCUAUGAAUACUUCUUAGAAGGUAAUUUUGUUGGUCAAAAUGAAAAAAUAUGAUAAAAGACUUGCUUUUUUGUUGACAUAUCAAUUGUUUCUUUUAAAUGCAAUCACUGGCUGUGAAGAAAUGCCAUUGUUUUGUAAUUUUUUAAAAACGUUUUCUGUGUUCCUUUCAAACCUGAAGUUUUUCAGUCUAGUAGUCAUCACAUUUAGUUCCAGCAGGAUUUUUAAAGUAAGUGCAAUUUCUGUAUUUAUGCUGAAAUGUAGGCAGUGCUUUAUGAAGGUAUAGUAAUGCUUAUAAAGUUAGACAUAUCAUAUAGCACAAAGUUUAGGUUAGUGCCAAUAUAUAUUUCAUAUUUCAAAGGAUGUUUGCAGAAAUAGAUAUUGAAGCAUGAGGAUUGUAUUUUUGUAGCAAUGUGACAAAUGUAAUUCAUAGAAUAAAAAUGCAUAAACAGAUCUGCAUAAACAAUGUUCUUAGAUCUGGCUUAAAAAAAAAUUGUUUUGGAAUUUGUCUAGAUUUGUUAGGAAUAUUGGGAUGAGAUUGGUUUAGUGAGUGUUAUGCACUUGUAUGACAGUUUCAUGAUGUUUAUAAAAGAAGAAAUGCUUUUUUUUUUUUUUUAGGAGACUUGAAAAGUUUAUUCUACUUCAGAGUAGAUUCAUAAUUUUGAAUUAUAUUAGCUAUGAGAAAUGAAUUGGAGGGGAAGGGGUUUUUUGGGCGUACAUGUAGGGCUGCACUUAUUAUUCUUAUGUGAAUCUUUGUAGGCACACAGCUAUACCGCCUGCAGAAUUUAGUUCAUUUUAUAACAUCUUUGCAUAUCAACAGCUUAGUUGUAUCUAUUUUGUGUUCAUGUUCAAUGAAGCAGUAUUUUAAUGUGAAUGUUAAAGCACAUUAUACAAUUUUAGAUUUGAUAGAAAUAAUAUUUCUUGCUUAUCUUUGCAUGGUUAGUGAUGAUGCAAUUUGCAGCAGAAAGCACCAAGAUGUGUCAUAUAGUCCUGAUGUCUUUUUUUUCUGAUAUUUUAUCAAAUAUUUUGACAGUUUGUGUUACUGCUUUCUUGUAUUUCAGUGCACACAGUGUGUGCAGUCAUUGAGAACUAAAUGAAACUUUAUCACUUUGAAGGAAAGUAGUAUUCAUUACCAAGUGAUGACACUAAAUGAAGUUCUGCCUAGAUUUUACAAGUACAGGGCAAUUUUCCCUUUUCAUUUAUAGAUUUUUUUUAAACAUGUAUCCAUAAGCAUGCAUACACAUAUUUGAUAUACAUCAUGUACAAACUCUUUCUCUUCACCACCUUUCUCCCAUUUUCACAGGUGAGACUUUAGAUGUUUUUUUUUUUGUUUCAUUAUGUUUUACCUAAAUAAGAUUCUGUCAGCACAGAGCAAACAUCAACUUCUUUGUACACACUUUGGUAUAUAAAUAUGUAUGCACGCAUGGGUGUGUCUCUAUUAAAAGAGAUUUGUUAAAAGAGUAGAAGACAUAGCAGGUUAAAAAUCAACAUGUGAGCUCUAUUAAAUUUUUGCAAAACAUUUAAAAGUAAUUAAGAAGAGACUAAUAACGAUAGAUAAGGAGAAAAGAAGGACAAUAGGGAAAGAUUAGGAAGUACAUAAUAAAUAUAGAGAAUAACAUGAAGAUAGUAAGUGCACUGGAAAUAAUUGAUAUGUAGUGAUUUACGAAGAGAUUAUUGUGUCAAAUGCUUCAAAGAUAAAAAACUUUACUAAAAAAAGAUAUACUGAUGUGAAUAGACAGCAGAGAGGACAGUUGUGAUAAAUCUGAGAAUAAAUGGUAUACAAAAUCACUAAGAAAGACAAAAGUAGGAUGGACUGGAAUUUUUUAAGUAAGGGUUGGUGAUGAGAACAAGAAUGAUAGGAAAUUAUGUCAACAUUUGGGAGUAUCUGCCUGAAUAUUGAGAUUAUUAUAGGGAUCAGCUGUGAAAGUAUGGGACUAGAUGAUAAUGCCAGAAAAAAAGAGAGAGAGACCAAGAUUACAGAUCAAAAUGUUUUCUUUGUCAGAAUAAAGAUUACUUACCAGAAGAGGAUUUAGGAUUUUUUUAGUGUAUGCAGUGAGGAUAAUUUACUGAAAUAAAAAGCUGAUCUACUUUGUAGGUAUGUGUAUUCAUGGGGGGAAGAAUGUGAUUUAGUAUCUAAUAUUGUAGCUACCAUCCACCCACCCAAAGAAUAAAAAUACAUGUUGCCCGUUUCCUCCCUGUCAUGACUGUUUAUUUUCAGUUAGAAUGCUUGCAUUCAAAAUCCACCUCAUUUUACCAGAACAAAUUCCAUUUAUAUUGUUAUGAGAUCAGGUUGUGUCAUAUUAUUCUUAAACUCUAAUAAGAAGUUAAUCUGUUCUAACCAGUGUGCAUAAAACAGCAUUUAAAAUGGUAAGGAAAAAGGAAUACUUGAUUGCUAUUUUGCUUGUCACACUAGUUGACAGUAAAUCAGAUUCUUGCUCUUGUGUAAAAAUUAACUAGAGUUCAAAAUGUAUUAGAAGGAAUUAAAUACUGUACAAUGCAUUGCUAUAACAAGAAUAAUGUAUGCAACAUGCUGUGACAUUCACCUGUUGCCUUAGGGAGUCUGAAUACUCUAAUUUUGAGUGUUUAAUUUCAAAUCUGAACAAAUUACCUUUCAUUUUUUAGCUAGAAGUCUUUAAAUAGCAACAUUUGUAAACAGCUUUUUUGAAAAGUGUCAAACUUGCUCCUGUGAUGUCACUAGUGUUGAUUUGCUGUAGAGGCAAGGCCUCAUUAAUGUGCUAUAAACCUCUAAACUUGACUGCAGCUUCACAUAAUACAACCGAUCUCAUAGAGAUCAAAAUGAAAGUCAAGGUUAUGAUUAUGUUUUUGACUCCACAUGCAUAUUUUGACAAACAAAUGACAAAGAAUGUUUUGUUAAGGGAAUCUGGGGCUUGCUUUCACAUUCAGCUUAUCAUUUCCCGUUUGUUUUUUUUUGGUUCAGAGGGCACGCAUAUGACCAGAGUGCACUGUAGUGUAAGCACAUGAAAAAAAGGAUUCACAUAGCAGCAGAUUGUUGGAACUACUGGAGAUGGAGGAAAUGAAGUAGAGAUGUUGUGUUGUGGUAGACAUAAUAUGAAAACAGAAUAGAUGUUAAUAUGGCAGUAAGAAAAGAAGAAACUGAGUAAACUAGACAGUAGAACAGGAACCAUUUAAGUAAAAAAACUGAAUGAGAAUGAAAAUUUUAGAAAAUGCUAAGAAUGAAGGAUGAUUGAAAAUCAUUUGCUAUAAAGUGUGAGGAAGACAAUAUUUUGAAAAUGUUUUUAUGUCUGAAGGUUGUUCCUCAGAUAAACCUGUAGCUUAUUGGGUGGUAAAGUUUUAUGAAACCAAAUGUCAAAAAUGAUCCAUGUAUUUGCUUUUUAUUGAAAUUAAUAAAAUAAUUUAUCCCAGAAAGCAAAAAUUUUAAAAAAUAAACAAGUGUGAGGAAUAAGUAGAAAAGUACACACAACUUUUUUUUAAAAAUUAAUGCACUUCAAAUGCCUAUGAUGGAGAAACAGUUUUUGUGCCAUAUUUUUCACCACAGUUGCCCAUCCUGCCCUUCAGCCUUGUUUCUGAAAUGCUUUGUAUAGCAAUAAGAGACAGGGUUCUUUUGGAACGAAUAUGAUCUGUUUACUGUUAGCCUUUUGGUGCUUUGUUUUGCUUUUUAUAGACCGGUGCUGAAAUUGUUUUGUUCUAUUUUGCUGAGAAAUACUUUAUUGCACUGUUUUUUGUCAUUUAAUGUACUACUUGCUCUUUGCACAGUCGUGAGACAGUGGUCACAGUAUUCCAAUGUUAAUAUGCAUCUUGAUUGCUAUGUACAGACAAAAUGUUGUAGGUUGUGAUAAUUACAGUAAAGGCAAGUCUCUUGUAAUCAAAAACAAUGUUUGGUAAGUUUAAUGUAACUUAGCUGUUGCUGAAACAUCAGUGACAAUUUGUUCUCAGUGAUGUUUGCUGCAUGCCACAGCAAAAGGUCAGUAUCAUUCCAGAUCUUUCAGGUGGCUGGAAAGAAGUGGCUGAAGAAAAACACUUUCAGUUUAAAACUGUCAGCUACUUUGUGCUCAUGAUGUAGCAUUAGUUUGUAUACCGCACUGUGAACUAGCCCAGUGUAUAUGCCAAGAAACUUUAGAAGCCAGUACUGUAGUUUUGACUAUGGCAACCAUAUGAUCUAGUCCUCCAGACAACAGGGUCCAUCUUUUCUAUCUUGUCAUCUGUUUUAACUCUGACAAACAAGCUGCUUUUGUCAUUGUUUUUCUGCCCCUGUUGGUCUGGCCUGCAGCAAGAUUUGUCAGAAGUCUGUAAACUUUCUGGAUGUUGGUUUCUGGUAUGCUUACCAAUUGCUUUGCAGUUGGCUUUUGCCAAGAACUGCUGUAUGUGUAGACUUUUUUCCUUAAUGUAAAAUUGUUGCAGAAUACAUGCAUAUGUACUUAAUUUUGACUAUCUUUUCUCAGACUAUGUCCACACACUAUAUGACGUUUGGUUGUUUGACCAGCCUGUGUAAUGCCUGUUAAGGCUUUCAUUGGGUUUUAUUUUUAUUGGAAGGGGUGGGUUUUGCAGGGUAAUACAUUUUGUCACUUUGCUAUAUGAUCACGCUGUCUUCAAGAAAAUUCUUAAAAUGUGGAGAUAGUAUGAAAACUAAUUUUGUACAAAUGGAUGUGAAAACUAUCUUUAUUUUUUUGUGCUAAUCAUAAGGCAUCACAUCUUUUGUUCAUAUAAAAUGACAAGUGAUGAGGGUCUAAUUAACGAAACAAAGGUCCGCUUUUUGGAAGUAAUUUAAAAAGAUAUCAAAAAGGGGAUCAUGGUUUUUGUCAUUUUGAUGGUACAGAUCUAAGCCACUUUGUUUGGUGUUAAGAGAAUUAAAACAAAGAGAAAAACAGUUUGUUUUCACCUGAUGUUGGCAUGAUUUUUUUUAGAUCCAUUUUAUUUAUAAUUUAGACUCUGAGCUGCUUGAGAGGGAAAAAAAAGAGGGCUUUAUUGUCUUUUCAAAAUGCUGUCAUUUGAAAUAAUGUGUUAACAGAGAUCAAUUAUAACAAAUUGAAAGUGUUAUUUGCAUGUUUGAAGAAGAAAUUGUAAGAUGUCUGUGCUUUACAAAUGUAAAGUAUAGACUCCUUGUAGUUUAAACACUGCCCUGAAUUUCCUGAUAAGCAAAUGCAUGAAUUUUCCUGCCUUUGUAUUUAUAAAUACUUUCUCUCUUGGAUCUAAGUUGAUUUUUUUUUUAUAAGUUUCGAUAAAUGACUUUUCCUGUCUGACUUAUUUCGAAAGUACCAGUUUUAUUAUUUUUUUAUGGAGAGCAGAAGAACAGUGGCCUCAUAAAUAAUGCUCAAACAUUUUAAAGCCAUUUUACCAUAGUUGGUCUUGUACAGAGACACAUGAGCACACGGCUGACUAUUGAUGUUUUGUGCACAUGUGAUUCAAUUUUGUAGAAUCUCCUAUACUGUUGAAGACACAUCUUUAGCUUUUUGUUUUUGAAACUAAUGAAAAUAAUGUGUCCUUAUGUAUGUAGAUUAAAAUUCAUUCAAUUCAUUCAUUUAUGUAGUGGGAAAGUGCUUCCACCUAGUGAUGAUUUUGCAUUACAGGGAGAUAGGCUUGAAAAUUAAAAAAACAGGAUAUAUUAUGAAUCACAACGGUCAUUUCUCUAUUUUUCAGUGUGUUAUAGAAUUUUGAACGAAAUUAUUGUAUUUGUUUUAAUUGUUGAAAGGUCAAGUUAAGUUCAUUGAUUUGUUAUUACUGUAAACUGUGUCACUACAGAUCUGGUGGUGUGUAAAGAGGCAAGGCCCAACAAAAGUAGGCCACAUUCUAGUCAUGUAUGUAUGCAUCCCCCAUUGUUCAUCAUGGUUGGUGCAUUAUAGUGCUCUCCUGUAUUCUGCUGAUGCUACCCUGAAUGCAGCCACUGAUGAGCAGUGAUCGAAGGACGCUCUGUCUUCUUCAGUCUUUACAAAAGGACAAAAUACACUUUUGCUGUCUUCAGAAUUUAGAAAUGUUGACAGUUAGUAAUUGUGAUUGUCCCUAAUCUUUUUACAUUUGCUAUGAUUGUCAUGAUAUUACUGUAUAUAUUCUUGUAUUGUACCAUUAGUUCAUUCACAGUAGUGUUGUUGAUUGGUCAUUUCUUAUUGUAGGGGAUGAAGUGUGGUAUGAGAAUAUAUUUUAGAUGCCUCUUGCAAGGUCAGGACAUCAGGUCAGAAAUAUUAAUGAUACAAAACAUUCUAGAAAUAUUGUUUUCCCUAUCUCUUUAUUUUCUGCUUCUCCCUGUCAUGUUUGUCUUUCUCUCAUAUGUGCACAUGUAUGCAGAGUAUUAAGCAUUAAUAAACAAAAAGAUAAGAGCUUAUAGAUAACUCUUUACCAUGCACCCAUCCAUUUCUUUCAGCUGAAUGGAAUUCAGUUUUUUAAAAACUGUUUGAUAAACAUGUAUGACACAUGAUGAUCAUGACAUUUAGAAUGUGUUUGUACAUUGCCACUUUUUGAGGGCCUCAUACAUUGUUGAUACUCACAUUUUUAAGUAUUUGUUAGUGCAGAUAUGAUGUUCUGAUUGUUGUUUUGUUAGACUUUGUGAGCGUUUAUGCUUGGUGCAGGGCUAGGAGUGUUGCUCAGCAAAGCUGAUCUUAGCACUCUUUUAUAUGCCUCUUCAGUGUUCUCCCUGUCCGUCCUUAGAUUCUUUGCUCUUACUACAAUAAGUUUCUUUAAAAGGCAUGCAGCAUUUUUUGUUUAGGUUAUGUGGACGGAGGUUGUCAAUGAAAGAUUGAAGUUUUAACUAAUAAUAUGAAAAAUACUGAUUAUAUGUGAAGUAUUGUAGGAUAUGUGUUAAUAUUUCCGUGAUCUGACAACAACAUGUACUGAGCCUUAGAAGGAACUCACUUUUUGGAGAAUAUCUAGUUUUCAUGGCAGAACUAUCUGCUGCAUGCAGAACUGUCUCUUUUUGAAUUACCCUGUUGCUGACCUAGUUAGCAGAAAUAUUGUUGGAUGUAAGUGGCUUUGCUAAUCCUUUGUGCAGAUUGUGCUUGGAAAUUACUUUGGGAAUAUCCCAAAUAAACUUUUUCAUUAAUGUCACUUUGAAAAUGUCUUCCCAAUUUUUCAUACUAUCCGUCUUUCAUUAUAGAUGACUGUUAGUUGAAGCUCUUAUUAAUUUGUGUGAACGAACUAACAAUGAAGAGAAUGAACACAUAAUGAAGAUGUUUAUGCUGUACUGUCCAAAAGAAUACCUGCAGAUGCAGUUGUAUCCACAUCAUUGUCUCAAGUGUACUACUGAGGAAAUGAAACCUACAGAUUGGUACAUAACAGUUUCUCCAAAAUUGGAUCAAGGAUGAAAAAGCAUGUAGAACAUCAUUUUAAAAGACUUGUGCCUAGUUUCAUGGAAUUAUGGCUGCUGGUAAUUAAGGAUUCUUUUGGCUUGUAUGUAUGUCUGCCUUUACAGUCUGUGUAUCAGCCUGUAUAGCCUGGAUCAAGUAAUGUAAUUUCUUUGGCUCGGUAUGUGUCAAUGUAUGCAUCAGUAGUUUACACAACGUUGUCAUCUUGAUGUUGUACAUUGGUUAGUCUGCUCCAUAACCCUGAUGUUUUCAUCAGGUCAUUGAUGAAAGCAGUUCAUGAUGUGAAAUAAACUGCACUUGUAUAGUCUCAUUCCUUGUAGUUAUUAGGCAGUGCUACUAGUGACAGACAUGUUGAAGAGAGACUGAAUUGUCCAACUGCAGCUGAAACAAGCAUAGCUAAUUCAGUCUUGUUGUUGCCAAAAUGGUUGCAGAGAUAGAACACAUUUCCGGCUUCUUGUGGAAGUUGUUUUAGUCUGAUUUAAAGUCCCAAUCUGUGUUUCCAGUCAUCAUUCAAGAACUGGCCACUGAUGUGCAUAUCAAAUUGUCCAUUUUUAAAAUUGUGUUGUUGUUUUUGAAUAGAUGCUAUCAGAAUUUUGUCAGCACAAGAAAUUCAUGUGUUCUAAAGCUGUUUGUGUGUUCACAUAGCAAAUUGCUUUUUUUCUGAUCAGCACAUUCAGUGUCUUAAAAUACUGUUACUGGUUUUCAUCAAAGUUCAUGAUAUUUAUAUGUUUCAUUUUCAUUCAUUUACAGGGCUGGACCAGAUGGUGACCUUCAAGAAGGGUAUCAAGGAAUUUUUUAAUAUUGUUUGUAGUUCCUCAUCCCUUUCCACCCAUAAAUUGAAUCAUUUUAGGUGCUGGUCUGCAGGACAUGAAAAAUAAAGUGCUGGCUUAACAACAUGGCCAUUUAUAGGCUACUUUUAAAAAGUGCUAGAUUGCCACUCAGAUGCAAGCAGAAGAAAAUUGGUCCACCCCUUGUCCCUGAAAUGAUUGUUAAUGGGAAUAAUUAAUACACAACGACAUUAUGAUUAGAAAAGCCUUUGGAUAGUGAUUGUCACUGUGACAUCUAACCACUCUUCUCUUGUCAAAGCAGUGUAAAAUUGAUGCUUGCCUUGUUAAUUCCAAUAUUUCACAUAGCAUCUCAGUAUCUUUAUUUUUAAUGUGAAUUCUGCAAUACUACUUUUUCAUACGUAUAAAUUACCCGGUUACCCAGGCUACUUCACAUUAACACCAGAGUUAAAUGGGCCAGCAGGUUCUGAACAGGACUGCACAAGAUUGUUUAAAUUCCAGAUGCUUGCACAAAAUGUGUGUUCACUGCAAUAGACGUAUUGCACUCAAAGAAGAAAUGUGUCAGGUUUGUUUCAUUUUUCUUUUUUAAAGCAACAUGAUGACUUUCAGGAUAUAUAUGGGCAAAGACACCUGGAAGAAGAUGCAAUUUAAAUUUUGUUCUUCACACAAGCCUGGCAUUAAUUAUACCUUGAAAAGAUGGAUGUGUUUCCUACUCUGUGAUAAAAGAAAAAAACCAACAAGAGCAAGGAGGCUUUCAUAAAUGAUAAAUAUUGUUUUGCACCAAUAACUUUGUUUUUAAAUGAACUUUGCUUGCUACUAUGCCACAGCAGACAGCAAGAGUGAAAGGCUGCUUAAAUUGGUGAAGUAGAAAUGAGUGUGAUGAAAGGGAUUUUUUUUUUUUGGUGUGGUGGUGGGGGAAGGGAGGGGAGGUGACGGUACUUGAACAUAUGGAGAGGUAGUGGCACAGAAGGGUAAAGCCAUAUCUCUUGGCUGGAUGCAGUUUGUCAGGUGAGGUCAGUCAUUACCAUAUGCAGCUUUUUAUAAAAAGAAAAAAGGACUGGCCUCCCAGCCUUGUUGAAUACCUUCUUGAUGACAGUUAAGUUACUGAAUGAGUAAGAAGUGUAAUGUGUAUGACCAGUGCUCUCAGGAGUCUUGCAGCAUCUCAAAAUUCUUGCCUUUAACCAUGGCGUAGGACAACAACAACUUUUUACUCAACUUUUAAGUUCAGCUAGUUUGUUUUUAAAGAGACUUGCCUUGUUGCUUGAUUCCUGCAGUGUUGCUGGUUUUCAGCUUGAGUGUGUUUGCUGAUUUGAAGUAGGGGUUACAGCUGCGUUAGAUUUAUGUGAUCAAGAAUAUGAACAGACAUCUUAUUUAGGGAGCAUGUGAUCUACACUAUGUACACAGCUCAACCACGUAUAAUAUUGUUGCUCAUCAUGCGUGUACAAUAGGUAAAGUAAAACCAUUAAAGUUCUUCAAUUUAUUGUAGAAUUGGAAGAGUUUAGAUGUCUUGAGAUCUGGAGAAGGAAACAAGAUCCAGAGCUAUUUACCUUACAAUUUCUCAGUAUUUUGCACAAAAAAUGAGGGGAAAUAUGGACAUAAAAGUUUUAAUUUUUAAUAAGAUUUUUUGUAGAGUGCAUUUCUGCCAUAGCUCAAGUCACUGCUGAUUUGCUGCUGUCAGCACUAAACAUAAGCCAAAACAGAAUAGCAGAUGUUUCUGGAUUCUGAUAUGGUGUAGUAAGUCAAACAUGGGUAGAACAAGUGAACUUGCUUUUUCAAAUAGCCAUCAUUUUUAAAUACACUGGCUUGAACAAAGAGGAGACUAUUUUUAUCAAUUUUCUAAUCUUCUCUCCUCUGCUACCUAUAUUGAAUUAUAUUUAACACAAAGUGUUGUUUUUUAACCUUACUUUCUAAAGUUUAGCUACUAAGCCCCCAAAACUGAGUUUCACUGCAAAAUGCUGAAAAUAAAUUCACUGACCACUAACAUCUUCAAUGAUGAGUAAACAACUUUGCAAGAUGCAUGUUCCUUAUACAUUGAGUUUGUACGCUUAACAGAGGUCUUCUGCUUGGGGCCCAUUACACAUUUCAACAUGAAAUGCAUAAUUAGAACAUGGCCAGGAAAGGCUUCCAAAUGUUGAGAUAAGGUAGAUUAACAGAAAAGCUCCAAAUAUAAACCUUCAGCACAAAUGAUGGUAUUGCAUGUAAUUGAUCCUGUAAAAUGCUAACAUGCAGGGUAGGAUGUUUAAAGAAUUCUAGAAGCUUCUAGUUCGUAUUUAUUUUUAUGGUACCUGAUGUUUUAUUUUUGUAUCACAGAAUUUGAUUCACAUCACGCUUUCCAGUUUUUGAGUAAAACAACAUCAAAAAUUACUUCUGUUUUUCAAAAUGCUCAUUGCUUACAUUUUUUAAUACAAUAAUGAAUUGACAGUCAUGUUACCAUUCAUAGCUAACAGUUUGCUUGCAUAAUUGAUGUGUGAAUGUAUGAAGACUGAUAUAAGCAUCAUCUUGAGCAUUUUCUUUAUGCAUGAUGUCAUACUGUGCAAUAGCUGACUACAAACUAGGUCACUCUAUAUUGCAACAAGUACAUACUUCCUAUGAAACAUCUUGUAGAUUAGAUAUUAACAAAAUCAGACUGUCAUCUGAUUUUAUCCCAUACAUUUAUUGAUAUAAAGAGCAGCUUGAAAAAAAUUCAGUAGCAUAGGAUCUCUGAUUUAUGCUACUGCACUAGACACUUUGCAUUCUACUUUUGUGUCUUAUCUUAUCUUUCAUUAGCAAGCUGCAUGUUUUUCAAAAAACCCUCAGAUCAAGCAUUGAAAUUGCCUAUUUUUAAAAACUGUUCAUUUGAAUAGUAAUAUUUAGAACAUACACCUUGUUCAUACAUUUUACCUAUUAGUAAAUUGUAGGGAACAAAUUAGAGGUAUUCCCUCAGAAUCAUUUCAUCACUAUGUGUCUUGUCUUUUUUGCACUGACUUCACUGUUUUGCUUCUUGUGUUAAUACUCUAAGCUGGCUUCAAUAACUAUAUUCAAGAUAUGUUAGUACAGUGGACUCUCAACACUUUGGGAAUGGUCCUUUUGUUCUCACCAGUUUCCAUUUAAACAAUAAGUUACAGAAAUUGGUGGCCUGCUGCCUUUCUAGGCUUUUUAUUAGAAACUCAAUUUUUUCAUGAAAACACUGUAGCUGAAAGAAUUAGUGACAUAUAUUUUCCCAAGUAAAAAUUGUUGUAGUAGUGAAUAAUGCAAGUGAAGUCAUAGCAAUUCUAAAUAUUUUCACAAAUUAUUGUUGCCUCAUCUUGAAAACUGGUGAUUAUUUUAGGGGGAAUAUAUCAAUUGUGGCAAAAAUAUUUUGUUGUGGAAAGACAUUAACAAACUGGUGUAGAUCUUGAAGGCAGAUGUAGACAAAAUAGAAGUUUUCUAGAGAAAAUAGCAGCAGCACUCUUUUCAUUGUAUAUCUACAUUUGCGCUUGCAUCAUGACCUCAUGCAGACUCACCAGUUUUGAAGGGUGACUCAUAAAAGUGAUUGCUUCAGUGUAGGAAAUUAUGCUUCAAAUUUUAGGCACUCUGUUUUUUAUUACUAACUGAAAAGGGAUCUCAUUUGAAUUUGCUUGCCUCUUCCACUCCUUAGUCUAAAAUCUAGACCCUAAAUCUCAAAAUCUUGUAUGUUGUUACACUCAACCUCAAAUGUUAUCAAGUGGUUUAAAAAGAUUUAGAGGUAAUACAGCAAAGGACAGAUCGUACAACAAUAAGAGUUAUGAAAAUUUUAUAGGGAAAUAAUAUGAUUAAAUAGGAUUGUACAACAAUGGCGAAAACAUUUUCCUUAUGCAAGACAAGUGCACCUUACUGUAUAUUACAACUUACAAUUCCAGUUUGAACACUCAAGUUUUUAAACCAGCUGUCACUGUGGGAGUAUCUUUAAGAUUCUUUCGUCUACUUAAUAUGAAAUUUCUGGGGUUUUUGUUUUUUUGGUUGGUUGUUUUAGGUAGUUGAUUUGCCAUGUUUGUGUUUGUCUUAUGGCUGAAGGUUCAUUUUGUGUAAUCUUAGUUGUUAUAUAUGGGGUAGUGAUAGAUGCCAGUCAUUUUAAAACCUUUUAAUGAAUUUUUGGUUUUCAUGUUGAAAGGGACCGCAUUUUUUCUUGUUGAUUUUCAUAGUGAUAUAGAACAAAUGACCACAAACUCUUGUAUUGACCUAUUUUGAAGUCUGUAUUGUGAAAUUGCUAAAAUAGUCUACUUUAUAUAUUUAUGGAAUUUUGGCUGAACAUGUGCUUCCAGCAAUAAAUGCUUACAGUAGAAAA